AGCGGCGGACGGGUGAGUAAUGCCUAGGAAUCUGCCUGGUAGUGGGGGAUAACGCUCGGAAACGGACGCUAAUACCGCAUACGUCCUACGGGAGAAAGCAGGGGACCUUCGGGCCUUGCGCUAUCAGAUGAGCCUAGGUCGGAUUAGCUAGUUGGUGAGGUAAUGGCUCACCAAGGCGACGAUCCGUAACUGGUCUGAGAGGAUGAUCAGUCACACUGGAACUGAGACACGGUCCAGACUCCUACGGGAGGCAGCAGUGGGGAAUAUUGGACAAUGGGCGAAAGCCUGAUCCAGCCAUGCCGCGUGUGUGAAGAAGGUCUUCGGAUUGUAAAGCACUUUAAGUUGGGAGGAAGGGCAKUUACCUAAUACGUAWSUGUUUUGACGUUACCGACAGAAUAAGCACCGGCUAACUCUGUGCCAGCAGCCGCGGUAAUACAGAGGGUGCAAGCGUUAAUCGGAAUUACUGGGCGUAAAGCGCGCGUAGGUGGUUCGUUAAGUUGGAUGUGAAAUCCCCGGGCUCAACCUGGGAACUGCAUUCAAAACUGACGAGCUAGA
rnacentral:rRNA from 1 species